rnacentral:rRNA from 1 species
UUAGGAGUUCCUAUUAGAGUGGCGAACGGGUGAGUAACGCGUGAACAACAUACCUCUCAGUGGGGAAUAACACAGGGAAACUUGUGCUAAUACCGCAUGUGUGUAUAUGGAGAUUUCAUAUAUAUGAAAGGUGGGGACCUUCGGGCCUGCCGCUGGGAGAUUGGUUCGCGUCCCAUUAGCUUGUUGGUGGGGUAACGGCCCACCAAGGCGACGAUGGGUAGCCGGCCUGAGAGGGUGACCGGCCACACUGGGAUUGAGAUACGGCCCAGACUCCUUCGGGAGGCAGCAGUCGAGAAUCUUCCACAAUGGACGAAAGUCUGAUGGAGCGACGCCGCGUGAGGGAUUAAGGCUUUCUGAGUCGUAAACCUCUGUCAGGAGAGAAGAACAGCGCGAGUAUUAACAGUAUUUGCGUGUGACGUUAUCUCCAGAGGAAGCUCCGGCUAACUCCGUGCCAGCAGCCGCGGUAAUACGGGGGGAGCAAGCGUUGUCCGGAAUCAUUGGGCGUAAAGGGCGUGUAGGCGGUUUCGUAAGUCGAAUGUGAAAUCUCACGGCUCAACCGUGAAAUUGCGUUCGAAACUACGAGGCUUGAGUUAGGGAGAGGUGUACGGAAUUCCUGGUGUAGCGGUGGAAUGCGUAGAUAUCAGGAAGAACACCGAUGGCGAAGGCAGUACACUGGCCUGUAACUGACGCUGAGGCGCGAAAGCGUGGGGAGCAAACAGGAUUAGAUACCCUGGUAGUCCACGCUGUAAACGAUGGGUACUAGGUUUUGGGGGUC